rnacentral:rRNA from 1 species
AACGGAGGGUGCAAGCGUUGUUCGGAAUUACUGGGCGUAAAGCGCGUGCAGGUGGUUUUCUAAGUUUCGCGUGAAAGCCCACGGCUCAACCGUGGAACGGCACGGAAAACUGGAAGACUUGAAUACGGGAGAAGAGGGCGGAAUUCCCAGUGUAGAGGUGAAAUUCGUAGAUAUUGGGAGGAACACCGGUGGCGAAAGCGGCUCUCUAGACCGAUAUUGACGCUCAUACGCGAGAGCGUGGGUAGCAAACAGG